UUUUGGUCAGUGGGAACUUGGCAUGGCUGGUAAUUUAUGGCAAUGUAUCUAUAUUUGUGGAUGAGUGACUCGGGGAAUAAUUUUACAUUUUUACUGCAGGAAGAGAGUGAGAGGUGGAAGCGAGGGAAGGUGAGAGGAGAGAUGCAGGCGGCAAACAAGGGAGUAAAUAUUCUUAGCUCAGAGUCAACUGAUCGUAUUAACCUCUUCUUAGCCCCCCAAAAAAACUGC